CUUGCUUCUCUUGAGAGCGGCGGACGGGUGAGUAAUGCCUAGGAAUCUGCCUGGUAGUGGGGGAUAACGUUCGGAAACGGACGCUAAUACCGCAUACGUCCUACGGGAGAAAGCAGGGGACCUUCGGGCCUUGCGCUAUCAGAUGAGCCUAGGUCGGAUUAGCUAGUUGGUGGGGUAAUGGCUCACCAAGGCGACGAUCCGUAACUGGUCUGAGAGGAUGAUCAGUCACACUGGAACUGAGACACGGUCCAGACUCCUACGGGAGGCAGCAGUGGGGAAUAUUGGACAAUGGGCGAAAGCCUGAUCCAGCCAUGCCGCGUGUGUGAAGAAGGUCUUCGGAUUGUAAAGCACUUUAAGUUGGGAGGAAGGGCAGUAAAUUAAUACUUUGCUGUUUUGACGUUACCGACAGAAUAAGCACCGGCUAACUCUGUGCCAGCAGCCGCGGUAAUACAGAGGGUGCAAGCGUUAAUCGGAAUUACUGGGCGUAAAGCGCGCGUAGGUGGUUCGUUAAGUUGGAUGUGAAAUCCCCGGGCUCAACCUGGGAACUGCAUUCAAAACUGACGAGCUA
rnacentral:rRNA from 1 species